rnacentral:rRNA from 1 species
UUAAAAGUUAUGUUCUUUAAAUUUAAAAAAUUUGGCGGUGUUUUAGUCUAGUUAGAGGAACCUGUGUUAUAAACGAUACAACACGUAUUAUUUUACUUAUUUUAGUAGAUCAGCUUGUAUACCGUCAUUAUAAGAUAAUUUAGGAGAGAAUAUUAUUGAGAUCAUAUUAUUGAGUAUAUUAGAUCAAGGUGCAGCUUAUGGGUAAGCAAACAUGGGUUACAAUAAAAUUUAUUUAAUAUGAAUUAAGUGUUUAAAUAUAUUUAUGAAGGAGGAUUUAAUUGUAAGGGGGGAGCAGUGAGCUUUUCUGAU